CAUACAAAAAAAAUUCUGAGUCUAAAGUCUCUGGCUGGAGUUUAACUGGCACUUUCCGAGGACGCCGCCUGCCUGGGGGUAGGUCGGUGGGUACCUCACCACAGGCUUUCCUGGGCCAGGCGAGCUGUAGCUUCGCGACGAGACAGGUGCGUUAAAAGGGCCCGAAGGAUCAUUGGGGACCCGAGUCAGCCCAGUCACAAACUGUUCCAGCUGCUAACCGUCCGGGAAAUGGUACCACAGCAUAAAAACCAGGACCUACAGGCUCCGGGACAGCUUCUUCCACCACACAUCACAUUGAUCAACUCAUACUGACACAACUGUAUUUCUAUGUCAUAGUGACUGUCCUGUUGUACAUACUAUUUAUUAUAAAUUACUAUAAAUUGCACAUUUAGAUGGAGACUUAACGUAAACAUUUUUACUCAUGUAUAUGAAGGAUGUAAGUAAUAAAGCCAAUUCAAUUCAAUAA